UACGGGGGGUGCAAGCGUUGUUCGGAAUUAUUGGGCGUAAAGCGCGUGUAGGCGGUUUGUUGCGUCGGCUGUGAAAUCCCGAGGCUCAACCUCGGGUCUGCAGUCGAUACGAGCAAACUAGAGUGUUGCAGGGGAGACUGGAAUUCCUGGUGUAGCGGUGAAAUGCGCAGAUAUCAGGAGGAACACCGGUGGCGAAGGCGGGUCUCUGGGCAACAACUGACGCUGAGGAGCGAAAGCGUGGGGAGCGAACAGG
rnacentral:rRNA from 1 species